rnacentral:rRNA from 1 species
UGGGGAAUUUUGGACAAUGGGGGCAACCCUGAUCCAGCAAUGCCGCGUGUGUGAAGAAGGCCUUCGGGUUGUAAAGCACUUUUGUCCGGAAAGAAAACGUCGUGGUUAAUACCCGUGGCGGCUGACGGUACCGGAAGAAUAAGCACCGGCUAACUACGUGCCAGCAGCCGCGGUAAUACGUAGGGUGCAAGCGUUAAUCGGAAUUACUGGGCGUAAAGCGUGCGCAGGCGGUCCGCUAAGACAGAUGUGAAAUCCCCGGGCUUAACCUGGGAACUGCAUUUGUGACUGGCGGGCUAGAGUAUGGCAGAGGGGGGUAGAAUUCCACGUGUAGCAGUGAAAUGCGUAGAGAUGUGGAGGAAUACCGAUGGCGAAGGCAGCCCCCUGGGCCAAUACUGACGCUCAUGCACGAAAAGCGUGGGGGAGCAAACAGGAUUCAGAUACCCUGGUAGUCCACGCCCUAAACGAUGUCAACUAGUUGUCGGGUCUUCAUUGACUUGGUAACGUAGCUAA